UACAGAGGUGGCAAGCGUUGUUCGGAAUUACUGGGCGUAAAGGGCGCGUAGGCGGCCUCUUUAGUCAGACGUGAAAUCCCCCGGCUUAACCUGGGAACUGCGUCUGAUACUGGGAGGCUAGAGUUCGGGAGAGGGAUGUAGAAUUCCAGGUGUAGCGGUGAAAUGCGUAGAUAUCAGGAAGAACACCCGUGGCGAAGGCGGCUCUCUGGGCCGUAACUGACGCUGAGGAGCGAAAGCAUGGGGAGCGAACAGG
rnacentral:rRNA from 1 species